rfam:Dichanthelium oligosanthes cultivar Kellogg 1175 unplaced genomic scaffold Do_version_2_scaffold29, whole genome shotgun sequence.
UAGUAGCUAUGAUGUUGGCUCGGCUCACUCAGAUGUCCCUCCGGGGCGAUGCACGCAAGAUCGCUGGUGUUUCUGAUUGAGCCGUGCCAAUAUCUUAGUACUCUUU